rnacentral:tRNA from 2 species
ACGGGUGUAGCUCAGUUGGUAGAGUACUGGUCUCCAAAACCAUUGGUCGUGGGUUCGAAUCCUACCGCCCGUGCAA